UUUCCCAGGCGGCUGCCGAAGAUGGCAGAGGGGCAGGUCCUGGUGCUAGAUGGUGGAGGCCAUCUCCUGGGCCGCCUGGCUGGUGGUUGUGCGUUGUGAGGGCAUCAGCAUUUCUGGCAAUUUCUACAGAAACAGGUUGAAGUACCUGGCCUUUCUCCGCCAACGAAUGAACACCAGCCCAUCCCGCGGCCCUUACCACUUCUGAGCCCCCAGCCGCACCUUCUGGCGGCCGGUGCGAGGCAAGCUGCCCACAGACUGAGCGCAGCAGGCCGCCUUGGGCCGCCUCAAGGUGUUUGACGGGAUCCCGCCGCCCUACGACAAGAAAAAGCGAAUGGUGGUUCCCGCCGCCCUCAAGAUUGUGCGUCUGAAGCCUGCCGGGAAGUUUGCCUACCUCAGGAGCCUGGCUCAUGAGGUUGGCUGGAAGUACCAGGCCGUCACAGCCACGCUGGAGGAGAAGAGGAAGGAGAAGGCCCAGAUCCACUACUGCAAGAAAAAGCAGCUCAUGAGGCUACGGAAACAGGCCGAAAAGAACGUCGAGAAGAAAAUUGACAAAUUCACAGAGGUCCUCAAGACCCAUGGACUCCUGGUCUGAGCCCAAUAAAAUUGACUGUUAUUCCUCA